UUAAGUUGCAGACAUGGGGAGGGAGGAGCAGAGCGAGGAAGAGGGCGUGAGAAAGCGACGGAGUACAAGAGUGAAAGAGAGGGAAUGAGAGUGAGAGAACAAGCCAGAGAGAGGGAGGGAGAAAGCUGUCUGGAUGAGGGAAAGAGAGAGAGAGGGGUGCAGUGAAGGAGGGAGAGAAGGAGGGAGAGAGGGAGAGAAGGAGAGAGAGAGGGAUGUCUUGCCUUGGAGAAGAAAUAAGAGGGCAUCUGAGGAAACAGACACAGAGAAGGAUGGCGAUGACAAUGCAAACGAUGAAGAUGACGGCCAGAACAGGCCCAACCACCCACAGUAGCCCCUCCUCCUCGUCUAUGAUUGGCUGAGGAUCGACAUCGUUAGAGGUCACGGGGUCAGAGUAGGGGCUGGUGGAGUACAUGGUCUGAAGAGGGGAGAGAAGUGGAGCUGACAAGGGGUUUAUUCAACAUCCUUAUUACCCCCAACCACCACCAUCACCAUCGUUAUCACCACCACUGUCAUCACCAUCGUUAUCACCACCACCAUCAUCA